rnacentral:lncRNA from 1 species
UUAACAUUCACACUUACUGACAACAUACACUUGAAGAGAACAAAAUAACCUUAAUAAAUCUACUCAACCUUAGUAUUGUCCUCGUCUGAUGGAGUAUCAGAUGGGGUUGAUUGUGGACUUGACAAUCUCUCUUCGAUCAACCAACCUAGACCUUGUCUUUCUUUGAACGGAGACAUGCUCCUUCGCCCUUUUCAUUUAGUGCGUCUGGUAACAAUAAUUGGGAUGGGUCUGGCUCUGAUACCAUGAAAAGAAUGGACCUUGGGCCUAAC